UUGUUCACUGACAAAUUACUC
ensembl:piRNA 21ur-11968 ncRNA